rnacentral:lncRNA from 1 species
AGAAAGGGGUUUUGAAGCUCUGAAAUAUCAGCCACUUACAUUCCUUGCUAGUAAGUGAUUUUUAAUGUCUUUCUUGAUGAUUUUUACAUUUUUGGAACCCCUAAAGCAUGAGCUUUCAUAUGAGGGGUCUAUUUUGCAAAAUGAUGAAGAGUCUAGGGUUUUUCCAUGAGAGUAAAUGUGUUGUUUGCUGUGUUUUUAUGGAAGAUUAUGAGUCCUAGUUGUCUAAUAAACAACUUUUGUGAAAGAAAUUGCAUGAAAAUACCUUAAAAAGGGCUAGAUUGCUAAGUUGUAAAAUGAGUUGUAAAUGUGUGAAACAGUUGAAAUUAUGAGUUGCUAUAGUUAUGAAAAUGGUUUAUCUAGACUCAAGGAGUAAAGAAAUGUGAUAAAAAUUAUUUUACGAGCCUAGGGGUAAUUUGGUAAUUUUGGCAAAAUAUAGGGGCAAAAUUGAAAAAAUUGCUCAAGUGUGUCAAUGGACUAAUUUGAUCAAUACAUUGUUUUAAUAAGUUGAAUCUGACAUUUUAGAUGAUGAAAAUCAAGAUUUAGACCUAGAACGGAAAGAUAUCGAUUAAGGGAUAAUUACGUCUUUUUUUACCUUUGUGGUAUCGAGGUAAGUUCAUAUGUAAAUGUUGGUAACAUAGUUAUUAUUUUAAAUGUUUUGAUGUUAUUUAAAUGAUAUGAUAAUUAUUAUGAGAUAUUAUACUUGUGAUAAUUGUUUGAUAAUAUGUCAAAUUAUAUGAUAUACUUGGAAAAUGUGAAAUACUACCGAGUAUUGGUAUCGGCAUUCCGUAGAAGAUGGUUGAGACACAUGAUUGGGAAAAAGGUCCCGUUGAACCUUAGGAAUAGAUUAGGAUACAAGUGACAUGUCACUGGAAUAUUUGGGCAUCCGAGCUCGUUGAGUUGAGUCCGAGUUCACUUAUGGAUGCGAAUGUUCGAACUCAUUGAGUUGAGUCCGAGUUCGUGAGAUGUAACUAGGCAUCCAAGCUCGUUGAGUUGAGUCCGAGUUCACUUAUGGAUGCGAACGCCCGAGCUCGUUAAGUUGAGUCCGAGUUCACUUAUGGGCGGGUUACAUGGUAGCUUGGCUACAUAUGUGGCACUUAUGUGCAAACUUUCCAUGUAUCUGAAUUAUAUUCCGAUGUGUUCAAUGGGUAAAAUUCUACUCAAAUGGAGGAAUACUCGAGAUGAAAGGGACGCAUUGAUAAAUGUUGUGAAAUGGAUACUUUGAACAGGUAUGUACUUAACCCUCGGGUUGAAAACUCGACAUAACAACAAAAUGGUAAGAUCGUAAAUGAAAAUGUGAUAUGAAUGUCUCGGUGAUGAUUAUACAAAUGAUGUUGUAUUAAUUUUGUGAACAAUGAUCAUGAAUGAGUAAUUUAGCCUUGACAGAUUUGAGUUACUGCAGUAGUGUAACUUUGAAAAUACACUAAAAAUAGUGCAAAAUGAGUUAGAGGCAGAAUAAAUUAUGGGAUUAAAGCUUAAUGAGUCUAUUUUCACAUAAAAGAAACAGGGGAAGAAAAAGAAUUCCAUAUUGUGUGAUAUUUGAAUUCUUGUGAAACAGGGUCUGAAUGAAUUCGAGAUCCCCUGUUCUGACUUUAGAAAUUCACCAAAAAUUGUACACAAAUUAUUAAGAGUCAUAACUUACAUGAAUGGAUUCCUUAUUGAGUCUAUUUUUAUGGGAAAUAAACAUCAUGGUCGUUGGAAUUCUGUACAGGGAGAAAUUCGGUUCGUAGUGCACAGGGGUUAGAGUGGUCAUACCCUGAAACAGGGGAGACUUUAACUAAUAAACUGUACUAAUUAGCCAAACCAAAAAUUCUAGAAAAAAAUUAGUAAGUAGAAAUAUGAAUCUAGUUUCAAGAGAAAUAGAUGAGAACAUUAUUCGAGUCUUGUACUAUGAGAUAAUUGAACUUUAGUACAGAAGGGUCAGAACUAUCAGACAGUGAAUCAGGGAUAACUUUGAGGAAUAAACUGUACUAUUUGGCUUAACCAAAAAUUCUGGAAAUUUUAUGGAAGAAAAGAAGAUAAGUCUAGUUUCAUGGAAAAUUAACGGAACUUAAUUCGGAGUUUCAUAGCUCCAGAUAUAAAUAAUUUAGUGACUAUUGCUCAGAAAGACAGCUUGUAGUGAACUUGAGAAUAUGUUGGGAACAUUGAUAAAACAAGUUAAUGAGUUGCUUAUUGUUUUCAUAUGAACUUACUAAGCGAAAGUUUACCCCCCCUUCUUUCCCAUGUUUCCUAGGGUUUCCAGGUUAGCUCGGGUUGGAGUUCGUCGGAGAUAUUAUCACACUGUCAAGCUAACGUUAUUGGUGUAGUGAUUUCAAGUACUUUGAGCCUAUGGCAUGUAUAGGAGUUUAAAUAUUAGAGUAUGUGAUAUGGCUUUAGCCAUAUGUGUUGGCCUAUUUUGAUUAUGGGGUUGUAAAUCCAUUUUAAUUAUGCAUG